AAUAGAUACCCGGGUAGUCCACGCCGUAAACGAUGGAUACUAGCUGUUUGGGCGCAAGUUUGAGUGGCUAAGCGAAAGUGAUAAGUAUCCCACCUGGGGAGUACGGGCGCAAGCCUGAAACUCAAAGGAAUUGACGGGGGCCCGCACAAGCGGUGGAGCAUGUGGUUUAAUUCGAUGAUACGCGAGGAACCUUACCAGGGCUUAAAUGUAGAUUGACGUAUUUGGAAACAGAUAUUUCUUCGGACAAUUUACAAGGUGCUGCAUGGUUGUCGUCAGCUCGUGCCGUGAGGUGUCAGGUUAAGUCCUAUAACGAGCGCAACCCCUGUUGUUAGUUGCCAGCGAGUAAUGUCGGGAACUCUAGCAAGACUGCCAGUGUAAACUGUGAGGAAGGUGGGGAUGACGUCAAAUCAUCACGGCCCUUACGUCCUGGGCCACACACGUGCUACAAUGGCCGGUACAGAGAGCAGCCACUUAGCGAAUAAGGAGCGAAUCUAUAAAGCCGGUCACAGUUCGGAUCGGAGUCUGC
rnacentral:rRNA from 1 species